rnacentral:lncRNA from 1 species
GCUAAGCGGCCUUGUGGAGUGAUCUUCUUACUAGUAACAUUUGCACACCAAUAAUAAAACAAAGGUUGCAAAAUAAAGAGCUAUGGCAUCUGCAUGUACUGCUAGUUCAUGACAAAUGAACAUUUAUUGUCCAUCUCUUCAAAUUGAAAAGACUGCAGAGCCUGAAUUACCUGCAACGUUAUGCUUCUUAUGAAACAUCAGCCAGCCUACAGAUAGAAGCUCCCUUUUCCAGCUUUAAGCAAGAGGAACCACAAUGAGAUACAGAUCUUGGUAUCGUGGACUGGUCACUUUUUACAACCAACACUACUUGUAAAAUAAGAUUUACAAAUUAAUUCCUAUAAGCUAUUAAAAAUGCUCUAGUCAAGGUACUA